CUGGGAAUCACCUGCUUCCUAAGUUGGCUUCUUACUAUGAGCCCUACUGACCAGAAGAAGCCUCUAAGAAUUCAAUCCUUCCAUGGAAGACAACCCUUUUUUCCUCCUGUGCUCCAGAACAGAUCUCCUAAAACCUUCAGAAUUCAUCAAGUCAUAGGAGUGUCUUUUCAUUAAUCAUAAUGAGCCCCUUUUGAUCAAACCUGAGUUUAGGCUAAUGGGUGACUUAAGAAACUGCAAAGGGGUGUUUGAGACCUGCUGAGCCAGACCACUGGGAGCCCAAUGGGUCGGACUCAGUUUCAACUCAUCAUGUAGGCAGGGGACAGCUGUGGAGGGGCCUGAGGAGACAAGAAAGGGGACCAAACCUACAUUUCUGAUGGCUUCCCCGGCAGGGAACGUGAAAGGUAUGCACUUUGCAUUUACUAAAUGGAUAGAGGAGUGAAUGACUGGGCUCUUAUGAAGAAGUCUGGGUGUAAAAUCACAAGUGGCACCUCUGAGGUGAUGAUUUUUUUUUCUCUUUUUCCAAAUCAAUUCAGAGAAUGUCAUUCAGCUUGAAAAAUGAAGAAUCUGGAUUGAAUACAAGAUAUAAGGCACAGUCAGCUGCUUAGUGUGAUUGUUCUCAAUAGCUGGGCCUUGACUCCUUGCUGGUCUGUCACAGGCAAUUUGUUGGUAGUAAUUAAGUAGCAGUGUUUGCAAAUGAUUGACACAAUAGAAGAGAGCAGCCUCAAUAUUCUAUCUAUCAAAGUCUCCCUGCUUCCCAAGUACUCAUGGCGUUCUGAUGGACGUGCUUUCUUUGGGGUUGGGAGAGGAAUGGGUGCCAGGCAGGGUACUGGGAAAUCUAGCUGAGUCUGGGGCAUCAGAGAAGGGGUCCUAUCUGAUAUUGGAGUGGGAAAACAUUACAAAAACCUCUGUUCCAAGGAAAGGAAAAUUGCCCCCCUUAAACUCAAAGUAUUGUAGAAUGGAGUAGGUUAUGAUAGAGGUUUUUUCUCCAUUCAUCCUAUCCCCAGGCAAAAUCCUUGAAACUAACCAUUGACCCUUGUAUUACCAGGGUUCUCCAGAGGAAGAGAAUCAACAGGAAGUACAAUUAUAAAAAGGAGACUUAUUAAGUUGGCUCACGUGACCAGAAGCUGGAUAUCCACAAUGGCUGUCUGCAGGCUGGAGAGCUGGAAGAACCAGUAGCUGCAGAGUCCAA